rnacentral:rRNA from 1 species
AAUUCGAUGAUACGCGAGGAACCUUACCUGGGCUUAAAUGGGGAGUGACACGCUGUCGAAAGAUGGUUUUCUUCGGACACUCUUCAAGGUGCUGCAUGGUUGUCGUCAGGCUCGUGCCGUGAGGUGUCGGGUUAAGUCCCAUAACGAGCGCAACCCUUACCGUUAGUUACCAUCAGGUUAAGCUGGGGACUCUAGCGGGACUGCCACCGUAAGGUGAGAGGAAGGUGGGGAUGGACGUCAAAUCAGCACGGCCCUUAUGUCCAGGGCUACACACGUGUUACAAUGGCCGGUACAAAGGGCAGCUACUUCGCGAGAAGAUGCUAAUCUCGAAAGCCGGUCUCAGUUCGGAUCGAAGUCUGCAACCCGACUUCGUGAAGCUGGAUUCGCUAGUAAUCGCGCAUCAGCCAUGGCGCGGUGAAUACGUUCCCGGGCCUU